UACGUAGGGGGCAAGCGUUGUCCGGAUUUAUUGGGCGUAAAGAGCUCGUAGGUGGUUCGGUAAGUCGGAUGUGAAAUCUCCAGGCUCAACCUGGAGGGGUCAUUCGAUACUGCCGUGACUAGAGGUCGGGUAGGGGAGUGUGGAAUUCCUGGUGGAGCGGGUGAAAUGCGCAGAUAUCAGGAGGAACACCCGUAGCGAAGGCGGCACUCUGGGCCGAUACUGACACUGAGGAGCGAAAGCCAGGGGAGCAAACGGG
rnacentral:rRNA from 1 species